rnacentral:snRNA from 1 species
GUACCGCGAGGUAAAGAU